rnacentral:rRNA from 1 species
UAUACUGCAAGUCGAGCGAAUCGAUGGGAGCUUGCUCCCUGAGAUUAGCGGCGGACGGGUGAGUAACACGUGGGCAACCUGCCUAUAAGACUGGGAUAACUUCGGGAAACCGGAGCUAAUACCGGAUACGUUCUUUUCUCGCAUGAGAGAAGAUGGAAAGACGGUUUACGCUGUCACUUAUAGAUGGGCCCGCGGCGCAUUAGCUAGUUGGUGAGGUAAUGGCUCACCAAGGCGACGAUGCGUAGCCGACCUGAGAGGGUGAUCGGCCACACUGGGACUGAGACACGGCCCAGACUCCUACGGGAGGCAGCAGUAGGGAAUCUUCCGCAAUGGACGAAAGUCUGACGGAGCAACGCCGCGUGAACGAAGAAGGCCUUCGGGUCGUAAAGUUCUGUUGUUAGGGAAGAACAAGUACCAGAGUAACUGCUGGUACCUUGACGGUACCUAACCAGAAAGCCACGGCUAACUACGUGCCAGCAGCCGCGGUAAUACGUAGGUGGCAAGCGUUGUCCGGAAUUAUUGGGCGUAAAGCGCGCGCAGGUGGUUCCUUAAGUCUGAUGUGAAAGCCCACGGCUCAACCGUGGAGGGUCAUUGGAAA